UUGACCUCAAAUAUUAUAGGAGGGUUAACUCUAUGGGCAGUAAACCAUAUUAUUUUCAUCAUGAUUUCAUCUAGAAAAGCAGUAAAAAGGUGAAUCAAAGGAGGCUGAACACCUUCUAGAGUCAAUGAAAUCCUCCAGAUGAUCUGUUCUUCAACCAGAAGAAGCUGAGAGCCUGCUCACCAGGAGGAAGAGGAGCUGAGAUGUUCAGGGAGGAGCUGAGAUGUUACUGAACUCUAGAAGAGACUCAAACUUCCUCAUUCAACACAGUUCAACACAUAAACAUCAACUCUGCUCAACAUGGACUAUUAUGGACUUUCUCUGCUCAUUGCUUCACUUCUAACAGGAGUCAGCUGUGAAGGACUCACUGCAGUCAAAGAUGAAGAGUUCAGGUCAGAAGGCAGCUCUGUUACUCUGUCCUACAGAUACUCCAAAAAAGCAGAUGGCACUGAUUAUUUCUUCUGGUAUCGACAAUAUCCUGGAAAACCUCCAGAGUUCCUGAUCUCUCACACUGGAACAGGAACCAAACUUCAGGAUCCAGUUCCUGGUUUCUCCUUUAAAGUGAGAGAUGAAAACAUCCAGAUGGACCUGCAGAUCAUCUCUGCUGCAGUGACAGAUUCUGCUGUGUACUACUGUGCUGUGAAGCCCACAGUGACAGGAAACACCAGAACUCUGUACAAGAACCUGCAGUACUCCACAUCAUCCACUAGAGGAACUAGAGGGGAAACCUCAGUGGGCGGCAGGAGUCGGCUGUGA